rnacentral:rRNA from 1 species
UACGUAGGGGGCGAGCGUUGUCCGGAGUUACUGGGCGUAAAGGGCACGCAGGCGGUCUGCUAAGUUUGGAGUGACAGUCCCCGGCUCAACCGGGUGAGGCCUUCAAAGACUGGUGGACUUGAGGACUAGAGAGGGACAUAGAAUUCCGGGUGGAGUGGUGAAAUGCGUAGAUAUCCGGAGGAAUACCAAAGGCGAAGGCAGUGUCCUGGCUAGUAACUGACGCUGAGGUGCGAAAGCUAGGGGAGCGAACAGG